GACAGGGUGGUCUAACGGUAAGACGCAUGCCUCGCAGUGCAUGAGACCCCGGUUCGACUCCGGGCCCUGUCU
rnacentral:tRNA from 1 species